CAGUCGCCGCGGUAAUACGUAGGUGGCAAGCGUUGUCCGGAAUUAUUGGGCGUAAAGGGCUCGCAGGCGGUUUCUUAAGUCUGAUGUGAAAGCCCCCGGCUCAACCGGGGAGGGUCAUUGGAAACUGGGAAACUUGAGUGCAGAAGAGGAGAGUGGAAUUCCGCGUGUAGCGGUGAAAUGCGUAGAGAUGUGGAGGAGCACCAGUGGCGAAGGCGACUCUCUGGUCUGUAACUGACGCUGAGGAGCGAAAGCGUGGGGAGCGAACAGGAUUAGAUACCCCCGUAGUCCCUGUCUCUUAUAC
rnacentral:rRNA from 1 species